rnacentral:rRNA from 1 species
UACGGAGGGUGCAAGCGUUGUUCGGAAUUAUUGGGCGUAAAGAGAACGUAGGCGGAUUUGUAUGUCGAUUGUGAAAGCCCAGGGCUCAACCUUGGAAUUGCAGUCGAAACUGCGGAUCUUGAAUACUUGAGAGGGUGGGGGAAUUCCUGGUGGAGAAGUGAAAUUCGUAGAGAUCAGGAGGAACAUCAGAGGCGAAGGCGCCUGCCUGGCAAUGUAUUGACGCUGAGGUUCGAAAGCGUGGGGAGCAAACAGG